rnacentral:rRNA from 1 species
UACGUAGGGGGCAAGCGUUGUCCGGAAUUAUUGGGCGUAAAGAGCGUGUAGGCGGCCCGAUAAGUCCGCUGUGAAAGUCCAGGGCUCAACCCUGGGAUGCCGGUGGAUACUGUCGGGCUCGAGUCCGGAAGAGGGGUGUGGAAUUCCUGGUGUAGCGGUGAAAUGCGCAGAUAUCAGGAGGAACACCAAUGGCGAAGGCAGCACUCUGGGACGUGACUGACGCUGAGACGCGAAAGCGUGGGGAGCGAACAGG